rnacentral:hammerhead_ribozyme from 1 species
GCACUACUGAGGAGUCCCAUAAUAGGACGAAACGCAUGUCCAGUGC